UACAUGGGGUGCAAGCGUUGCUCGGAAUUAUUGGGCGUAAAGCGCACGUAGGCGGUUCGUUAAGUCGGAUGUGAAAGCCCUCGGCUCAACUGAGGAAGUGCACCCGAAACUGGCGAGCUUGAGUACGAAAGAGGAUCGCGGAAUUCCCGGUGUAGAGGUGAAAUUCGUAGAUAUUCGCAAGAACACCAGUGGCGAAGGCGGCUCACUGGCCCGGUACUGACGCUGAGGUGCGAAAGCGUGGGGAGCAAACAGG
rnacentral:rRNA from 1 species